ACUAGCCCUGAAAAUGGAUGGCGCUCUAGCGUCGUGCCUAUACCGGGCCGUCAACGGCAAAGUGGGCUGGUGCCCCGCCGGUUAACGCCGGCGGGCUCGGCCGUUAAGCCUUGACGAGUAGGAGGCGCGCGGCGGUGUGCGCAGAAGGGUCUGGGCGCGAGCCUGCCUGGAGCCGCCGUCGGUGCAGAUCUUGGUGGUAGUAGCAAAUACUCUAGCGAGGGCCUGGAGGGCUGAUGUGGAGAAGGGUUUCUUGUGAACAGCCGUUGCACAAGAGUCAGUCGACCCUAAGCCCUAGGAGAAAUCCGAUGUUGAUGGGCAGCGAUCACGCGGCCGGCUGCUGGUGCACUCGAAAACGCGCCUCUGGCCACACGCCGAACGCUCCCGUCGGGCGAAAGGGAAUCCGGUUCCUAUUCCGGAACCCGGCUGCGGAACCGUAACUUCGCGGGCACUCGCCUGCGAGCGCUCGUCGGGGUAACCCAAAAUGACCCGGAGACGCCGGCGGGAGGUCUGGAAAGAGUUGUCUUUUCUUUAUAAGCGUUCGAGUUCCCUGGAAUCCUAUAGCAGGGAGAUAGGGUUUGGAACGCGAAGAGCACCGCAGUUGCGGCGGUGUCCGGACCUUCCCCCCGGACCUUGAAAAUCCGGGUGAGGGCUACGCGGAAAUGUCGCGCCGGCUCGUACCCAUAUCCGCAGCAGGUCUCCUAGGUUAAGAGCCUCUAGUCGAUAGAAUAAUGUAGGUAAGGGAAG
rnacentral:rRNA from 1 species